UUGUCAGGUGAGCUGGGACAGCCUUCUUCCUCCGCCCAACCGCCACAGUGAUUAUCGUCAAGUCUGCCACAGGAGGAUAUUUUAUUCUGGGUUAACCUGCUUUUCUACUUCGCAGGUUGUUUAUCAAUAUUUGUGUAAUUUUAUUUACUCCUAGAAUUUCCGCAUGUGUUAGCAGUAAUUAUUUGAAUUUGGUCUGUAAUAUUAUUAUCAUGUUGGACCUGUAAACUUAAUAUUCUAUGUCUGUUUUGAUGGAUUGGAUGAGGGAGCUGAGCUCCCAUUUAUUAUUAUGUUGAUGAGUAUGUGGAGGGUGAGCUGAGCUCCCCAAUUGA